UACGGGGGGGGGCAAGCGUUGUUCGGAAUUACUGGGCGUAAAGGGCUCGUAGGCGGCCAACUAAGUCGGAUGUGAAAUCCCCAGGCUUAACCUGGGAACUGCAUCCGAUACUGGAUGGCUUGAAUCCGGGAGAGGGAUGCAGAAUUCCAGGUGUAGCGGUGAAAUGCGUAGAUAUCUGGAGGAAUACCGGUGGCGAAGGCGGCAUCCUGGACCGGCAUUGACGCUGAGUGAGCGAAAGCUAGGGGAGCAAACGGG
rnacentral:rRNA from 1 species